rnacentral:rRNA from 1 species
GAUGAACGCUGGCGGCGUGCUUAGCACAUGCAAGUCGAACGGUGAAGCAGAGCUUGCUCUGUGGAUCAGUGGCGAACGGGUGAGUAACACGUGAGCAACCUGCCCCUGACUCUGGGAUAAGCGCUGGAAACGGCGUCUAAUACUGGAUAUGAGCUGCGACCGCAUGGUCAGCAGUUGGAAAGAUUUUUCGGUCUGGGAUGGGCUCACGGCCUAUCAGCUUGUUGGUGAGGUAAUGGCUCACCAAGGCGUCGACGGGUAGCCGGCCUGAGAGGGUGACCGGCCACACUGGGACUGAGACACGGCCCAGACUCCUACGGGAGGCAGCAGUGGGGAAUAUUGCACAAUGGGCGAAAGCCUGAUGCAGCAACGCCGCGUGAGGGAUGACGGCCUUCGGGUUGUAAACCUCUUUUAGCAGGGAAGAAGCGAAAGUGACGGUACCUGCAGAAAAAGCGCCGGCUAACUACGUG